GCCCUAAAAUUUUCAGAUGAAUCGGUCAAUCGGUUGUUGAGUUGCUGCCCCUGAAUUGGUAAUUUUGAGGAAAUUUUGCUGUUUUUGGUUAUUAUCUUGAAUAUUAUUAUAGAUAGAGAUAAACUGUAAACAGCAAUAAUGUUCAGUAAAGUAAGAUCUACAAAUAAGUCAACAUGACCAAAAUGGUCAGUUGACCCGUUUAGGAGUUAUUGCCCUUUAUAGUCAAUUUUUAACCAUUUUUCGUUAAUUAAAGUAAUCUUUUAGAAAAAUCUUCUCCUCUGAAACUACUGGGCCAAAUUAAUCCAAACUUGGCCACAAUCAUCUUUGGGGUAUCUAGUUUAAAAAAUGUGUGGCGUGACCUGGUCAACCAACCAAGAUGGCCACCACGGCUAAAAAUAGAACAAAGGGGUAAAAUGCAGUUUUUGGCUUAUAACUAUGAAACCAAAGCAUCUAGAGCAAAUCUGACAAGAAGUUAAAUUGUUAAUCAAGUCAAUAUCUAUCUGCCC
rnacentral:lncRNA from 1 species